rnacentral:rRNA from 1 species
GACGAACGCUGGCGGCGUGCCUAAUACAUGCAAGUUGAGCGCUGAAGGUUGGUACUUGUACCAACUGGAUGAGCAGCGAACGGGUGAGUAACGCGUGGGGAAUCUGCCUUUGAGCGGGGGACAACAUUUGGAAACGAAUGCUAAUACCGCAUAAAAACUUUAAACACAAGUUUUAAGUUUGAAAGAUGCAAUUGCAUCACUCAAAGAUGAUCCCGCGUUGUAUUAGCUAGUUGGUGAGGUAAAGGCUCACCAAUGCGAUGAUACAUAGCCGACCUGAGAGGGUGAUCAGCCACAGUGGGACGGAGACACGGCCCAAACUCCUACGGGAGGCAGCAGUAGGGAAUCUUCGGCAAUGGACGAAAGUCUGACCGAGCAACGCCGCGUGAGUGAAGAAGAGUUUCGGAUCGUAAAACACUGUUGGUAGAGAAGAACGUUGGUGAGAGUGGAAAGCUCAUCAAGUGACGGUAACUACCCAGAAAGGGACGGCUAACUACGUG